rnacentral:ncRNA from 1 species
UCUGGGGUGACCCAGAAUCUGAAGGAAGUCGGCGGCAAAUCUCCGCCCUUAGGAACACGAACUUCAUAGAAGGCUAGGUGUACUUGGAUGAGACUGCAUAACAAGUCAAAAUCCUUACUGCAAAAGGGUACACAGAGUAAAUGAAGUGGGGAUAUGGAGAGGAAGAAUGUGUG